UACAGGGGGUGCAAACGUUGCUCGGAAUUAUUGGGCGUAAAGCGCGCGUAGGCGGCUACUUAAGUCGGAUGUGAAAGCCCCUGGCUCAACUGAGGAAUGGCACGGGAAACUGCGGGGCUUGAGUUCGGGAGAGGGAAGCGGAAUUCCGGGUGUAGGCGGUGAAAUGCGUAGAUAUCCGGAGGAACACCGGGUGGCGAAGGCGGCUUCCUGGACCGAUGACUGACGCUGAUGCGCGAAAGCGUGGGGAGCGAA
rnacentral:rRNA from 1 species